rnacentral:rRNA from 1 species
CACGUAGGCGCAAGCGUUGUCCGGUAAUUAUUGGGCGUAAAGAGCUCGUAGGCGGUCUGUUGCGUCCGCUGUGAAAACCCGGGGCUUAACCCUGGGCUGGCAGUGGAUACGGACGAGACUAGAGGUAGGUAGGGGAGAAUGGAAUUCCCGGUGUAGCGGUGAAAUGCGCAGAUAUCGGGAGGAACGACCGGUGGCGAAGGCGGUUCUACUGGGCC